rnacentral:rRNA from 1 species
GAUGAACGCUGGCGGCGUGCCUAACACAUGCAAGUCGAGCGGAGAUACUUGAAGGAAGUUUUCGGAUGGUAUUUGAGUAUUUUAGCGGCGGACGGGUGAGUAACGCGUGCGUGACCUGCCUUCCACAGGGGGAUAACGUACCGAAAGGUACACUAAUACCGCAUGAGACCACAGCACUGCCUGGUGCAGGGGUCAAAGGAGCAAUCCGGUGGAAGAUGGACUCGCGUCCGAUUAGAUAGUUGGUGGGGUAACGGCCUACCAAGUCAGCGAUCGGUAGCCGACCUGAGAGGGUGAUCGGCCACAUUGGAACUGAGAGACGGUCCAAACUCCUACGGGAGGCAGCAGUGGGGAAUAUUGGGCAAUGGGGGAAACCCUGACCCAGCGACGCCGCGUGAGGGAAGAAGGUUUUCGGAUUGUAAACCUCUGUUCUUGGUGAAGAGGGAAAGACGGUAGCCAAGGAGGAAGCCCCGGCUAACUACGUGCCAGCCGCCGCAGUAACAC